AGUGGUCGCCUGUCCCAGAGAGCUGGUGAGAUGAGGUGGGGAGGUGGCAGCUGAGUUUUAUGGUGAGAAAGUGGAGUUCGAAGAUGUCAUCAGCCCAGGUCACACAGAUGGUGGAGACCAGUGUGGAGCCCGGGAGUGGGCUGAGCAGAGCAUCUGGACUUUGAGCUUCCAUCAGACCCUGAGAUAGUCACCUGUCCUGGCUGCCUGGUGACCCUGGUGUGCUAACGUGGCACUUAUCUUGCUCUAUGGAGGCCCCUGGGCCCCCUAAACACCAGAACCCAGUUGCUGUGCUAAAAAGAACUCACAGACCACGUGGAGUGGAGCAGAUGGGUCAGUGUCCCAGGUGGCAGCCCGUGUCGGCCUCAGACCUGCACGUGAGGAUGCCCACCAGAGGGUUCCUGCCACCACCGUCAAGUCACCCCAGCCUUAAUCUUCCAGCCGGCGCCUCAGGCAUUAUGGGCAGAGGUAAACUGUCUCCAUGAUGCCCUUUCCAAAUUUCUG
rnacentral:lncRNA from 10 species